CUGUGGUUCAGUAGUUGUUUUGGAUAGCAAGCAUGCUAUCUAUAGCUGAUAUUUUGCAUUGGAUUAUUCUUAUUUCCAUUUGAUAAAGAUUUUUAUGGUAUAUUAUGUCAAGUCGUCACCCGUAGAACGGUUGGAGUGUGUUACUACGAACAAGCAAGGUCCUCUUCUGAUGAAGGGCAUCCUAGCCAACCAAGUCUCUUCUGAGUCUCACCCUCAUAUCUGACUGCUUCAUCAUUGGAGUCAUCCUACAGUAUGCAUUAUAGUCCACUGCCUUGUUACAGUCAAUUCCCUAGACACAUACACUUUGGCUUGCUCUGAAGCCAAUCAUUUGUAUUGUCCUGUAGAAAUGUUGGCUUGUGUCAGUUCUCCUCUGGUGAGAUUAAUAAAAUGGUGAUUGUCAGA